GACGAACGCUGGCGGCGUGCUUAACACAUGCAAGUCGAACGGAAAGGCCCUGCUUUUGUGGGGUGCUCGAGUGGCGAACGGGUGAGUAACACGUGAGUAACCUGCCCUUGACUUUGGGAUAACUUCAGGAAACUGGGGCUAAUACCGGAUAGGAGCUCCUGCUGCAUGGUGGGGGUUGGAAAGUUUCGGCGGUUGGGGAUGGACUCGCGGCUUAUCAGCUUGUUGGUGGGGUAGUGGCUUACCAAGGCUUUGACGGGUAGCCGGCCUGGGAGGGUGACCGGCCACAUUGGGACUGAGAUACGGCCCAGACUCCUACGGGAGGCAGCAGUGGGGAAUAUUGCACAAUGGGCGGAAGCAUGAUGCAGCAACGCCGCGUGCGGGAUGACGGCCUUCGGGUUGUAAUCCGCUUUCGCCUGUGACGAAGCGUGAGUGACGGUAAUGGGUAAAGAAGCACCGGCUAACUACGUG
rnacentral:rRNA from 1 species